rnacentral:rRNA from 1 species
GUCUCUUUGAUUUUUAAUAAUAAAGAGUUGGGCCUGCUCGGUGAGUAAUUUUAACAGCUGCGGUAUUAUAACUGUACUAAGGUAGCAUAAUAAUUUGCCUUAUAAAUUGAGGCUAGAAUGAAUGGUUUGACGAAAAUUAUACUGUCUCUAUUUUAAUUGAUAGAAGUUAAUUUUUAAAGUGAAAAAGCUUAAAUAGUUUAAAGGGACGAGAAGACCCUAUUGAGCUUUUAUUGAAUUUAUAAUUUUAUAUAAGUGUAUUAAUAAUAUAUUUAAUAUUAGUUAUAAUAGUUUAAUUUUGGUUGGGGUGAUCAAGGAAUAAUGAUGUAGUAACUUCCUUAAUUGUUUAAUUUAGUUAAAUAAUAAACCAAUGUUAUUGCUUAUAGAUAAGUUACCAUAGGGAUAACAGCGUAAUUUUCUUUGAGAGUUCAUAUUGAAAAGAGAGAUUGCGACCUCGAUGUUGGAUUAAAAUAACCAUUAAGUGAAGAGGCUUUAUUAGGUAAAUCUGUUCGAUUUUUAAAAUUUUAC